GGUUCACCACUCUUGGCUUGUGGCUCUGGGCUGGCUCGUGGUGAGGUUGGGAGGUGGCUGUCCUCCGACCUGUGGGUGUGGGAAGACACAGGUGUUGGGAGGGAGGGGGCUCAGCCAGUUUCCUGCGGGAGAGCGUGGGGUAUGGGCCCGCCCUUCCCCACUCCCUGCUCUGCACAGCUAAGCUGUGAUAUGCCUGCAGAAGCCCCUGUGUGGUCUUCGUGGCUGACCCCAUUGGCUCCCUACCCAGUGGCCAGUAUGGCCGAGUCAGCCUUCCACAGUGGAUAUUCACCCAGCCUCCCUUGUAGCUAAGACGUAGGCUUGUAACUGAAUUUUAGCCAAUGGGACUAAAGGGAAAAUCUUCUGAGGAGCGUCUGCAUCCGGGAGGGCUGGGCAGGGGUCCUUGAUUCCGACCCCAGCGCUGCCAACAGGAACUGGCAGUGGGACUUGGGCUCCAUUUUGCAGGUGGGUCACUGGAGCCGAUGCCUCUGAGGUCCUCUCAGCUCUGAUUGGGUUCUUGCGGUCGGGCCUCAGUGAGAGGGCAGGGACCCGGAAGCCAUUAGCUUGUCCAGGAGCUCCUCUGGCCACGUGCCGGUCAGGGGGACCACAGCAGCUGUCCCGGAGUAACUGGGACACGGGGAGAAGGCACUACAGAGAGCCUGAACAGGCGUGGGCGCACAGGGUUGGUCAGGUGAACUCACCACCCAGAGGACCACCGGCUGAGCCAAACAAGUGGGGGUCUGCAAGGUUGUACCUGAGGCCCAGGGUGAGCCAUCCGCCGCUUGGGGCCAUCCAGCACCCCUUCCCCAGGGGUGACAGCUCCCCGAUUGUCCCCACCCCCAGCCACAGGCUGCUCACCUGCACAGAGGAGGGCGUAGUACACAAAUCAGCGUAAUCCCACCCCCAGCCACCAUGAUUGGCUAAGGGCUGCACAGGUAUAGCCAAUGAGAUGCAAGGAGCUGUAGGCUUGGGGAAUUUCCCCGAAACAGAGGCAGCCUCUCCCCAGCCGAGCAGGUGUGCGGUGGGGAGAUGUGACAGCCACCUGUGACUUUUAGUGGGCCACCUGGAGAUGCUGGGGGCUACGGAUAGAGCCUAACAAUGACGGUGACAGGAACGGAUCCUUGGGCUUCAACAAGCAAAAUGAGAUGGGGGGACAGCCCUUAUUCAAAGUUUCCUAGCAGAGGCUGGGCCUCCCCUCCCUGCAUCCCCUCAGCCACUGGAGUCUCAGAAGCCGUGUCCAAGAGCGACUUCCUGCGUCAACACAACAGUAAAUCUUUCAGCAUGCUCGCUUGGUACCAGGCACUGUUCUAGGGCUUUGAACAUUUCCUCACAACAACCCCACAAGAUGAGAAAACUGACGUCCAGAGCUGGGGAAACUUGCUGAGACCGCACAGAUCCCUCGAGCUGCAGUGUGUACCCAUCCCGAGCUAGUUCUGCCUGGAAAACCCUGCUGGUCCUUCAACCACCCACCUGCCGGGUCCCCGACACAAACGUCGCUUCCUUUCAGAACUUGCCUCCCUACCUGGAUGCCCUGAGCUCCCACGGUCUCCAGCGGCUGUUGUGCUGUGUUUCCCCCAUCAGACGGCGUUUCCUGGAGGGCAGCCAGCACAGGACAGAGUGGCCCGUCAAGGUUUGUUGAACGAUGAAUGCGGGAACGGAUGAAUGACACCACUGGCAGCAGUUCACGGUGACUAGCGGGAGGGCAGGUCAGGCGAGGGCAAGCCCAGCGCCCCGGGGGGGAUUCCAGCUCCUCCUGUCCCUCUGUUCUUGGAUUGUUCCAGAAAGACAGGAGAGCGCUAGCUUUGGAGCCACAAACCGGGGGCGAGUCCCAUCCCCAUCACUGCCGAGUCCCAUGGAUGGGGGCUGACAGAGGGGUGGACCCUCCAGGUGAGAGGGUGAGGAAGACCUUCCCAAACUGCAGGCAUUUUGGGUCACUGGCCCUAUUGUUGACUAAUACAGAUUUCCUUUCAUAGGAAACAUUAUCACCAAGAGUAAAAAGCCACUGUCUCUUGCCAUAAAUAGAAGGUAACCAGAAAAACAAAGACAACAAAACAGCCAGUUCUAGCUAGAUCCUGUUUUCAGGCUGUUCUUUCUUUGUUAAAAAGAGAGGGUGGCUAAGGGGAGUUAGAGAUUCACCCGGUCAGCCCAGGACCUGAGACAACCAGGACUGCAAAGGCCGGCAGAGGCCCUCGCUGGCCUGUGACCCCACGUCCACCCCCUGCCCACCUCGGGCCACUCUCCUCUGGGGGCACGGAGGGGCUGGGGGACCUGCAGAGACACCUGUCACCCCACAGGCACAGCGGAGCACCUCCCUCUCAGCUGCAGGCCCUCCUGGGGAGAGGCGGGCCCAUGGUAGCCCACGGUCCCCUCACGCCCGGACAGACCACGUCCUUGUGCCAGCAGGGCGUUCCCUCCAGCUGUGCACCUCUGCGUGCCGCCCUGAGCCCCGAGUGAGCCUCCCUCUGACGCCUUCUUCCUGCUGGAGCCCGGCGGCCAACACGAUCUGACAAGGGCCAGAUGUUCCCCUCUACUCCUUCCAGCCCUGGCAGCUCACGCCCAGCUCCGGGCCUCCGACGGACAUAGCCUCCCUUGGUUCUGUGAUGCAAAGGGGGGUUCUCGGGAGCUGCCUAAUCUGGGUUCCACCCCACAGGACCGUGGCUUUCCGAUGUGACGCUCCGCAACUGCCCCUGCCCCCCGGCCUCCAUCUCAAUCCUCUCUUCAUUCACCAGUAAACACUGAUGGGCCCUGGGGUCCCAUGAAGAUGAAAAGAAAUAACGGUAUUUUUAAACACGGGGAGCUCCUGCCUCCGUUUAGUAUUCAAGGGGAUUUUAGGUGGCAUUCGGAUGAACAGGUUGUGUGAGUGUGUGUGUGUGUGUUAAACAGUUAAGUAUUUAGUAUAAUGUGUACUAAAGACAAUUAAUGAACCAUUUUAGUUUUAUGUUUAUGACAGCGAUAAAACUUCCUUUUAAAUUAAGUAAAAAGAGUGAGAUGAUUUAAGGAAAAAUAGUAACUAAAGGAUAACAAUACGGGUGCUCUGCAGGUAUGGUUAAAGGUGACACAGCUCCUGGGAGAGUGUCUGAAAUUUGGCGAACGCUUGGACAGCAGCACGUCAUAAGCUGUGGGCACUGUCAGAGCCAAGCUCUUGCCGUGUCCCUCAGCCACUCGUUCUAUCCCCUGCACAGCAGAGGACCCCACCGCUAACGUACUGACACCCUCUUUUUAUAACAUUCCUGUGCUAUCCCUAAAUGAGUAAUAGACCCUGUCUUUACAUAUACUUUGAAGAAAUUAAUGUGAUGCCUUGUGAUUUAAAGGAGAAAGGAAUUUUAUAACAUACAUUUCAAUAAGUAAAUGCUCAGAUAUAAAGAAAAUUUCAGAUGUUUAAAACUAUAAUGGCUAAGUUUGAAUUUGAGAGAGGUAAGGUAACGUUCAGUGGAAUGUUGUUGACACUCUUUCCCUACAGUUGACGUUUUGAAAUAAGGACUAGGAAAAGAUAUUCAGAUAGAUGGUGGAGGGACAGAUGGACAGACAGAUAGACAGAUAUGCAGACUCCCUGGGACGCAGAGUAAUGAAUGCCAGUGGACACAGGAACUCCUCACCAGCUGGUAAAGCUUCACAAAUGUUGCUAUCAUCUGUGAUGUGGUUACGCAAUGAUGAGCCACCCUUGGAAAAUUCCAAACAAGUCAAAGUGUAACCUUCCCUCAACUCACACUGCAUUGCAUUCUUGCAAAAUUCUUUGCAUAUUAAACCUGCGCAAAAAAACUGUGUUUGUAUGGAAAGCAAACUUAGGACCUAGGCUCAGAUAAUUGCAGUGAAAGCAAGUUUUUCGCAGUACGAACACACAGCAGGGCAUUUGGAAGUCAUGUGGGGUACAAGGCAGUCCUGGUGGGUUGUACAGGGCCUACCUGGAGGCCUGUAUCCCUGGAAUCCACCCCCAAGUGCUGGCAGCACCGUCCUCCUAGUCACUGAAACAAACAGUCCCUCCCCACAAAUUUCCAGAACGUCUCUGGGGGAGAUAUUGCUCCCAUGGAGACACCUUGUUCUCACCACAUUCACAGGCUGCAGGGAUUAGGGUGUGGGAUCUCCGGGGUCAUUCCUAGAAAUUCUGCCCGCCCGCACAGUAGCCAUGGUGCUGCCACAGCAGGACAGACACUUCAUUGGAAAGAAAGGAGAAGUGAGUUGUUCGAGGCUGUACCCAAGCCAGUGGUUCACGGUUGUAACAACAGAAACCAUCAUUGAAGCAGGAAAGGAAUUGGUGGGCAGGACACCCAGGAGCUAACAGAGUCGAUGGGCAGCUCGGAGGGCCAGGCUUGGGCAGAAAGCAAGGGAGGGCAGACCCAGCCGGCGCAGGAGCAGAAUUUCUAGGAAUGACCCCCCAAGAUCCCACACCCUAAUUCCUGCAGCCUGUGAAUGUGGUGAGGUAUCACUGCUGGGAUGGUGUUAUGUUAUAUGGGACAGCUGACCUUAAGCUGUGUCACCUCAUCACACGUGUCCCUUUAAAAGCAGAGAACUUUCUUGGCUGGUGCAGAAGAGGAAGUUAGGGAAACGUGAAGUGUGAGAAGGACUUGGGUCGUUGCUGGUUAGAGGAUGAACAGGGACACAGGAGAUGGCAUGUAGAGAGCGACCCCUGCUGACAGUCAGCAAGGGAUGGGGAUCUCAGUCCUACAACCACAAGGAUCUGAAUUCUGUCAACCCCUGGGUGAGCUUGGAAACAGAUUCUUCCCCUCAGCCCAAGGUCAACAGCACCUUAAUUUCAGCCUUGUGGGAGCCUAGGCAGAGAACCCGGGCAAGCCUGCCUGGACUUCUGGCCUGCAGAAUGUGAGAUCAUAAGUGGAUGUUGUUUUGAGUGCCUCCGUUUGUGGUAAUUUGUUAUGGUUGCUAGGAACCAAAUACAGCAACCCAAACAAUCACACCCCAUCUGUCUUGUUGGCACAAUCUCAAUUAUUCCGUCAGGCACUGAGUGGCCAAGUGCUUCCAGACAGGAGAUCUGAUUGGUUUAAGCUGAUCAUGAUUAUUCCUUCCUUUUGCCAAGGAUUGGUUUAGGAACAGGCAUGUGAUGUGAUCCUGGCCAAUGAGAGAUGAGGGGAGGUCUUCCAGGAGGGUCUCUGGGAACAGAGAAGUUGAAGAAGGAAGUUAUUUUUCUGUCUCUGGAUGUGGCAGUGAUGCCUGGGCCAUGGCAGCUAUCUUGUGACCAUGAGGGGCCUUUGCUGAUAGGCCAAGAUGACAGGCUAAGAGUCGAAAGAUGGAGAAUUGGGUCCUUGCAAACAUCACUGAGCUGCUGUCCCCUGGACUUCUCAUGCAGGAUUAUCAAUGUCCCUGUGGUUUAAUCCAUUGUGAGUUGAGUUUUCUGUUACUUGCAGCCUGAAGCACUGUCACUGAUAAACACUUCACAGCACUGCUUGGGCGUUAAAUGAGGUUGUGUAUGUGAAGUCGUUAGUGCAGUGCAUCAUAACCACAGGUGCACAGAAACGCUGGCCUCUGUUCCCUCCUGCCUCAACCCCUGGUUGAGUCAGGGUUCACCCAGAGAAGUGGGGCCAGUAGGGGAUGCCCAUCUACAUCCACGUCUAUAGCUACAGUGCUGUCUCAAGAGCUUGGUAACCAGGAAGUGGCCUCUGUGCUCAGCGAGUCUGAAAUCCAGAGGCAGGGGAGCGCACAGGCGGCCUAGACCCUUGGGCACAGCAGAAACUGUGUCCACAGGUGGAACCUCUUGGUUUCAGGGAAGCCCUCAGCCUUGCUUUAAGGUCUAGCAAGUGAUUAAAUGGGGCUCACCCAGAUUAACCAGGAUCAUCUCCCUUACUCAGAGUCAACUGCUUAAAGACUUUAAUUCAUAUGUAAAAUGCCUCAAGGCAACCGUAGGUUAGUGCUUGAACGACUUGGACUGGAACCAAGUAACUCAGCAAGGUGACCCAGCCAGAGACCUUCACACCCCUGCAUUCAGCCUUUUCUGAAAUGGAUAGAAGACGUUACUCUCAUUUGCUUCCCUCUCUGCAUUCAACCCUCUGACACCCAGUAGCCCCCGAGCUUUGGGAAGCUGCAGGGCAGACAGGACAUGCAGGGCCUGGCCAGGGCUGGCCAGGAGUGGGGUCACCAGGCAGCCAGAGGUCCUGGAGGCUCGCACACUGGCUGCCUUUGCUGUGUGGCGUUUCCUGAGUGAAGGCUCGCAGGAAACAGAGACGGGUGUGUGAAAACAAAAGAACAACAGUAGGAAGAAGAGCUUGAGGGGGGGCCUUGGAGGAAGAGCCGAAAAUAAAUCCUGAAGAGGGGAGUGUGCAGACAGGCCUCGGGGCCUGGGAAGCCUUUCUGACUGUUCCUCGUUUCUGGUCCCUACCUGAAUGCGGGGCACCGCCUCUACUGGGGGGUGGGUGCAAGGGGGUGUCUGAGCAGGCCCCCCACAGUCCGAGCUGCUAAUCUGGCUCUGCAGUUCAUCCCACAGAUGAACUGUGUGCCGGAGACACUGUACUUACCAGAAUGGCCCGACCUCCUGGAGCCUCCCUUCCCCUGGGCGACAUGGACCCCGGUGAAGUCACAACAAAAAUAAGGCCAGAGGCUGUGAGAGAUGACAGGGAAGCAGGCUGGCCGGGCCGCGGCCUCUGAAGAUGUCAUGGGAUGUAGCCAAGACAGCUGGGUGGACGCGAAUUAGUCAGAAGCUGCCUGGGAGCAGUCGGGAAACCCUGUGCCUGAAGUGGACCAGGGAGGGGUUUGGGGUUCAAGGAGCAGAGAGGUCAACAUGGCUGGAGGGGUGCACAGCGGGCAGAGUGGAGGAAGCUGGGGCCAGAAUGGGGGCCCCAUCUCUCAGGGCCACGGUCAUGGCAAGGAGGCCCUCAGCCCAGGUAUCUCAGGAUGUGACUGUAUUACUGUAUUUGGAGACGGGGCCUUUAAAGAGGUGAUUAAAUAAAAAUGAGGUCCUAGGGUGGCCCUCAUCCGAUGUGACUGGUCUCCUUGUAACAAGAGGAGGUUAGGACACAGACAUGCACGGAGGAAUGACUGUGUGAGGACGCAGGGAAGAGACGGCCGUCUCCAGGCCAAGGAGAGAGGCCUCAGGGGAAACCACUGCUGCCCACACCUUGAUCUUGGACUUCCGGCCUCCAGAACUGCGAGACGGUGCCCAUCUGUGGUUGAUGCCGCCCAGACCGUGGUAUUUGUCACGCAGCCCGAGCUGACUAAUACACUGCCACUAACACACUGUAGCAAAGCAGCCACCUCCACCGUGCCCUCCCCUUAUUCAUCCCGUGUACUGUCACCUAUUGGUCAGCGGUCUUCCCCCAGGACGUCAGCCCCAUGAGGGCAGGGACCUUGCCUCGUUCAUGGCUGUUUCCCUUGGACCCAGGGCAGCACGGCACUCUGGGCAUGUGACAAAAUGUGGUUGGACAAAGAACAGUCAGUGGUUAAUUCUGACAGAAAAUUGUGAAGAGACCCCACAGAGAAUCUCUGUCCCCUCCCCGCUUCAGGGUCUCUGAUGUCGGUGGCUCCAGCCUUCUCUAAGUCACCCCUGUCCUCUCAGGAGGAUUCAGGGCAGGUGAUGGGAGCCUCAGGCGUUUCCCAUGGUCCGUGCACCUGCCCGGUCAGGAGGAAACACCUGCCUUUCUGGGCCAGGCCCUCUGCCCAGCAAUGGCCACAGGGGCAGAAAGGAGGGGCAUUGGGUGCCACUGCUGCCCACAGGAGCUCCCAGUCGAGUGGGACUGCAGAAGCCACCUCCCCUUCAAUCCAUCCGUGAGACCCAGGUCCUGUGAACCAGAGUGGCAGUGAUUGGUCCAGAGUAGUCACAUGACACCCCGCCAACUUAGCCAGGCAGCAUAUUCCAGCAUCCCUGGUACCACUGAUUGGUUCAGGGAUGGGCGUGACCCAUGUCAGGAUAAUCAAGAGUUAAUCUAAGGAUUUUCUUGGAGCUACUGGGAAAGAAAUGCUCAUUCUAGUGGGUUACCCCAGUAGAGGGAUUGGUGCUAAUCCUGGGCUCGGAGGCCCGAGCAUCCCCUUUUUCAUCUUCCCUUUGCUUGUUGCCACACUGCAGCCUUCACUCGUCUUGGAUUCUCACUUCUAAGAGGAAGGUCACGAGGUGGAGUCUGUUGCUUUUGUCUCAUGGCAUCCUCCUCCUGUCUCCUGAUAACAGCACCCACUUUGCUUUCAGGAACUGUCCCGCCCCCUACCUAGCAUCCACCUCUCCCAGACCACAGGGUUGAGCGUGCGUCCUAGUUCUGGCUGGCUGGCGUAUCCUAGCGCCCUGGCCACAGUGAUGGCCUAGACGUGGCCUGUCACCCAGGCUGGGCUGGGCAGCGUUCUUCCCUGAGACUUUAUCUGCAGGUGCUGGGAAGCAGUAUGCAGGCCACUGAAUUUGGAAAGUUACGGAUCUGGGGUCACUGCAGCCUGUCCCCUCCCGUGUGGAGCCGGAGUGCGUGAAACCAAGCAGGGACAAGCAGAGGUUCGGGAUGGAUGGACAGUGCUGGUGGCACGGGAUUUAAAGUCUGCUCCCUGCAGCGUGUGGAGGCCACGUUUCUGAGGCACAUCGCAAAGACUCAUCACAGAGCCCGCCCCGGGCUUCUGGUCAGGAGCAGACAAUGAAACCCAAACCCCAGUGUGUUCCAAGCACUGUUAGGGUGACGUAGCAGGGGGAUAAAAGGUCCGGUAAUCCCCCAUCGGUCCCGGCCGGACCCUGAGGACUCAGGAGGAACCACAGUCACCUGACAUCCCCCUCCUCAGCCUGUACGCAGUGGGAUCCUUUGCUGAACUGGGCUCCUGGGGGUCCGUGACUGUGAACGUGACCAGGUGCUGUCCUUGAGGAAGGCUCUGACCUAGAAUGGAGAAUGGCAGGUUGAGGCUCUGCCCAGCUCCAGAUGAGGAAAAGGAGGCUCACAGAAGCAAAAAUGACUGAGACAUGGGCUCCCCUGGUGGCACAGUGGUUAAGAAUCCACCUGCCAACGCAGGGGACACGGGUUUGAGCCCUGGUCCGGGAAGAUCCCACAUG